rnacentral:SRP_RNA from 1 species
GCCGGGUGCAGUGGCAUGUGCCUGUAGUCCCAGCUACUCGGGAGGCUGAGGCUGGAGGAUCACUUGAGCCCAGGAGUUCUGGACUGUAGUGCGCUAUACGGAUUGGGUGUCCACACAAAGUUCGGCAUCAAUAUGGUGACCUCCCAGGAGCAGGGGACCACCAGGUUGCCUAAGGAGGGGUAAACCGGCCCAGGUCGGAAACGGAGGAGCAGGUCAAAACUCCCAUGCUGAUCAGUAGUGGGAUUGCGCCUGUGAAUAGCCACUAUACUCCAGCCUGAGUAACAUAGCGAGACCCUGUGUCU